rnacentral:rRNA from 1 species
UGCAGUCGAACGGGAUUUACGUCUUCGGAUGUAAUGAGAGUGGCGCACGGGUGCGUAACGCGUAUGCAACCUACCCUGUACAGGGGGAUAGCCCGGGGAAACUCGGAUUAAUACCCCAUAGAAUCAUAAUAUCGCAUGGUAUAAUGAUUAAAGAUUUAUCGGUACGGGAUGGGCAUGCGUCUGAUUAGCUAGUUGGUGGUGUAAUGGACCACCAAGGCAAUGAUCAGUAGGGGUUCUGAGAGGAUGAUCCCCCACACUGGUACUGAGAUACGGACCAGACUCCUACGGGAGGCAGCAGUAGGGAAUAUUGGUCAAUGGGCGAGAGCCUGAACCAGCCAUGCCGCGUGCAGGAAGACGGCCUUCUGGGUUGUAAACUGCUUUUAUACGGGAAGAAAAAGGCCUUGCGAGGCAAAUUGCCGGUACCGUAUGAAUAAGCACCGGCUAACUCCGUGCCAGCAGCCGCGGUAAUACGGAGGGUGCAAGCGUUGUCCGGAUUUAUUGGGUUUAAAGGGUGCGUAGGCGGAUAUUUAAGUCAGUGGUGAAAGCCCACAGCUCAACUGUGGAACUGCCAUUGAAACUGGAUGUCUUGAGUAUAAUUGAGGUAGGCGGAAUUUAUGGUGUAGCGGUGAAAUGCAUAGAUACCAUAAAGAACACCGAUAGCGAAGGCAGCUUACUAAAUUAUAACUGACGCUGAAGCACGAAAGCGUGGGGAGCGAACAGGAU